AUUGACCGCUGGCGGCAGGCCUAACACAUGCAAGUCGAACGAGUGGCGGACGGGUGAGUAAUGUCUGGGAAACUGCCUGAUGGAUGGGGAUAACUACUGGAAACGGUAGCUAAUACCGCAUACCAUCGGAUGUGCCCAUAUGGGAUUAGCUAGUAGGUGCGGUAACGGCUCACCUAGGCGACGAGCCCUAGCUGGUCUGAGAGGAUGACCAGCGACACGGGCACGGAAACACGGUCCAGACACGGACGAGAGGGAGCAGUGGGAAAUAGUGCAAAAUGGGCGCAAGCCUGAGGCAGCCAUGCCGCGUGUAUGAAGAAGGCCUUAGGGUUGUAAAGUACUUUCAGCGGGGAGGCGUGACCGGAAGAAGAAGCACAGGCUAACUCCGUGCCAGCAGCCGCGGUAAUGC
rnacentral:rRNA from 1 species